UGUGACGAGUUUGUGGUUUUACAUUCAAGUUUUAGCUUUUCUUCUUUCAUGCUACAGAGCUCGAUCAGACCAUCCCAGUAUCCUCCGAAAUAUGCGUUCUGUUGAUGAGCCAGUAUGCAGAGAUUCAGGGCUUGGCCCGCCACAAAUGUGCGGACGAUUGAUCAGAAAGGAGCAUUGCCGGAAUAGUCAUAUGAUCAGAUGGGCACGAACAUAUUGCCGAAAAUUUUGUCUAU